ACAGCACAUAGUCACGGGAUUUGCACCGAAA
rnacentral:sRNA from 1 species